UGGGGGAAUUUCCUCAUAAUGUGAGGAAAUUAUAGGAUACAAAUAUAUUACAUAUCAAUUGCUUGGGAUUUAAAAUGAAAUAGCAGGAACCAAGUACAGAAGAUUUUGGAUCUUAGAACCCAGGUUCGAUUCCUGGUCCCCCAGCCA
rnacentral:tRNA from 1 species